rnacentral:misc_RNA from 1 species
GGAAGUAAAAGCCGUAACAAGGUUUCCGUAGGUGAACCUGCGGAAGGAUCAUUAUCGUACAAAAUGUGAGGGGCAUGCGAGGGCUGUCGCUGACCCAAAAGUCGUGCACGCCCGAGUGUGUCCUCUUGCAUAAUAAUCCAUCUCACCCUUUGUGCAUCACCGCGUGGGCACCCUUCGGGAUCAUCUCGGAGGGGGGCUCGCGUUUUCACACAAACCCCCCUUUUAAAAGUGUAGAAUGACACAUUUAUGCAAUCAAUACAACUUUCAACAACGGAUCUCUUGGCUCUC